rnacentral:rRNA from 1 species
UACGUAGGGUGCUAGCGUUGCUCGGAAUCACUGGGCGUAAAGCGCACGUAGGCGGACUCUUAAGUCGGUGGUGAAAUCCUGGAGCUCAACUCCAGAACUGCCUUCGAUACUGGGAGUCUCGAGUUCGGGAGAGGUGAGUGGAACUGCGAGUGUAGAGGUGAAAUUCGUAGAUAUUCGCAAGAGCACCAGUGGCGAAGGCGGCUCACUGGCCCGAUACUGACGCUGAGGUGCGAAAGCGUGGGGAGCAAACAGG